rnacentral:rRNA from 1 species
ACGGAGGAUCCAAGCGUUAUCCGGAAUUACUGGGCGUAAAGAGUUGCGUAGGUGGCAUGGAAAGCGAGUAGUGAAAGCGUGCGGCUCAACCGCAUAUACAUUAUUCGAACUACCAAGCUAGAGAGUGAGAGAGGUAGCUGGAAUUCCUAAUGUAGGGGUAAUAUCCGUUGAUAUUAGGAGGAACACCGAUGGCGUAAGCAGGCUACUGGCUCAUUUCUGACACUCAGGCACGAAAGCAUGGGGAGCAAACAGGA